AGAGCAACUCCAAGAGCAAAAUGACCAACUCGAAGAAAAAAUGGAAAGGAAACCAGUGUUUCCAGAAGCAGAGGAACUCCAGAGAGAAAAGGAGCAACUCCGAAAGGAAAUUGG